rnacentral:lncRNA from 1 species
UAUCAAAAGAUAGAAAGAGAGAACUACAGGGAGGAGGCAUCAAAACCUCUGGAAAGGCUUCUGCCUGUCUCCUUCUAUAGUUCGUCUGUUAAGCUGAUCUUACUAGCCCUGCUACUAAUCUAAUAAUAUUCCAUUGGAUUGCACACGUGUACCUUACUAUCAUAGUCCAAUAAAAUAAUCAUUCUAUAAUCGUUUUUGUAUGAAAAGCCCUAGGAUAAAGCAAAAAAAAUCUUUAUUUUGGUCCAACUAGGUUCUAAGACUAGUAAUUUCUAUUCUCUUUUUCUUUUUACGUUCUACAUUUUAUCUUUCCGUAUUAUAAAAACCCACCCUUACUCGUCCUUGUAGUUAGGUCAAGAAAGAACCCUUGGAUCUCGAUCUAAUACAACAAUGCAUGCAUCAAAACGAUUGAUUACAAUUAUUUUAUUCUUUGGUCUCUUUCUUUCAUCGAAUAUGAUUUACUACUCUUAUCUUACUUGUUACUGGACAACUAACCAAUUCCUUAAUCGACAAGUGGAAUAGCCGAAGAAAGAGCGGCAGAAGGCCUAGUACCACCAGAACAGGAAGAGCAUAAACUCGGUUCCACAGAAAGGAGAGGAAAGAAGACAGGUUCGGAGCCGUUAGUAGCCUAGUCCAAUAUUCGGGGUAGCAAGUCAAGCAAGUAGGGGUUCCAGGUUCAAGGAGAGGGGAAUGGUACAAGAGUCUCGAGAGGUCUCAUAUCGGAAAAUGAAUGC